rnacentral:rRNA from 1 species
AGCAGCCGCGGUAAUUCCAGCUCCAAUAGCGUAUAUUAAAGUUGUUGCAGUUAAAAAGCUCGUAGUUGAAUUUCGGGGUCAGCAGGUUGGUCGUGCCACUGGUAUGCACUGGCCUUGCUGAUUCCUCCCUCUUGAUGAACCGUAAUGCCAUUAAUUUGGUGUUGCGGGGAAUCAGGACUGUUACUUUGAAAAAUUAGAGUGUUUAAAGCAGGCAAGCGCUUGAAUACAUUAGCGUGGAAUAAUGAAAUAGGACGUUUGAUCCUAUUUUGUUGGUUUCUAGGAUUGACGUAAUGAUUAAUAGGGAUAGUUGGGGGCAUUAGUAUUCAAUUGUCAGAGGUGAAAUUCUUGGAUUUAUUGAAGACUAACUACUGCGAAAGCAUUUGCCAAGGAUGUUUUCAUUAAUCAAGAACGAAAGUUAGGGGAUCGA